rnacentral:rRNA from 1 species
GCCUGAUCCAGCCAUGCCGCGUGUGUGAAGAAGGCUUUCGGGUUGUAAAGCACUUUCAGUGGGGAAGAAAUCCUCGGGGCCAAUACCCUCGAGGGAGGACAUCACCCACAGAAGAAGCACCGGCUAACUCCGUGCCAGCAGCCGCGGUAAUACGGAGGGUGCGAGCGUUAAUCGGAAUUACUGGGCGUAAAGCGCGCGUAGGCGGCGUGAUAAGCCGGUUGUGAAAGCCCCGGGCUCAACCUGGGAACGGCAUCCGGAACUGUCAGGCUAGAGUGCAGGAGAGGAAGGUAGAAUUCCCGGUGUAGCGGUGAAAUGCGUAGAGAUCGGGAGGAAUACCAGUGGCGAAGGCGGCCUUCUGGACUGACACUGACGCUGAGGUGCGAAAGCGUGGGUAGCAAACAGGAUUAGAUACCCUGGUAGUCCACGCCGUAAACGAUGUCGACGUA